rnacentral:rRNA from 1 species
AGUGAACGCUGGCGGUAGGCCUAACACAUGCAAGUCGAACGGCAGCACAGUAAGAGCUUGCUCUUACGGGUGGCGAGUGGCGGACGGGUGAGGAAUACAUCGGAAUCUACUUUUUCGUGGGGGAUAACGUAGGGAAACUUACGCUAAUACCGCAUACGACCUACGGGUGAAAGCAGGGGAUCUUCGGACCUUGCACGAUUGAAUGAGCCGAUGUCGGAUUAGCUAGUUGGCGGGGUAAAGGCCCACCAAGGCGACGAUCCGUAGCUGGUCUGAGAGGAUGAUCAGCCACACUGGAACUGAGACACGGUCCAGACUCCUACGGGAGGCAGCAGUGGGGAAUAUUGGACAAUGGGCGCAAGCCUGAUCCAGCCAUACCGCGUGGGUGAAGAAGGCCUUCGGGUUGUAAAGCCCUUUUGUUGGGAAAGAAAAGCAGCAGGUUAAUACCCCGCUGUUCUGACGGUACCCAAAGAAUAAGCACCGGCUAACUUCG